rnacentral:rRNA from 1 species
GAUCCUGGCUCAGAUUGAACGCUGGCGGCAGGCCUAACACAUGCAAGUCGAACGGUAGCACAGAGGAGCUUGCUCCUUGGGUGACGAGUGGCGGACGGGUGAGUAAUGUCUGGGAAACUGCCCGAUGGAGGGGGGAUAACUACUGGAAACGGUAGCUAAUACCGCAUAACGUCGCAAGACCAAAGAGGGGGACCUUCGGCCUCUUGCCAUCGGAUGUGCCCAGAUGGGAUUAGCUAGUAGGUGGGGUAACGG